rnacentral:lncRNA from 1 species
CCGAGAUCGCGCCACUGCACUCCAGCCUGGGUGACAGAGUGAGACUCCGUCUCAAAAAAAAAAAAAAAAAAAAAAAAUAGAGGGAAUGGAUUAUUUCUAUGAGAAAUGGAACGCCAUUGAAUAAUUUUAUGCUGGGGGGUGACAGGAUCUUAUUUUCAAUUUUUAAGAGAUUGUUCUGGCAUCUGUGAGAAGGAUAGGCUCUAAGGCAGCAGGUGCAGAGGAAGUGGAGCAGAGACUCUUGCAAUAAUCCAGAUGAGAGAUGACAGUGGUUUGGGCCAAGGUGGUCAGAAAUAGCCAAAUUCUGGCCAGGUGUGAGCCACCGCGUCCUACCGGGAGGUGGUUGUUAAUUGGACUAGGUUUGGUUCAGUUCAGGAAAGCCUUCAUCACCAGGCUAAAGAAUCUGGACUCAAUACCCAAAGACAAUGGGGACCAUCGAAGAUUGUUGAACACGAGGAGUUCAUCAUCUGAGAAGCGUUUUAGCAAAAUUAAGCUGAGCAAGCAGCAGUGAGAAGGAGGAUGUUUUGAAGAGGAGGUAAACUGAAGGUGGGACAGGGAAACGAACUAGUCAUUGCAAGGACAGUUAAGAAGUUGUUGCAAGGCCAGGCACGGUGGCUCAUGCCUAUAAUCUCAGCACUUUGGGAGGCUGAAGCGGGAGGCUCACUUGCACCCAGGAGUUCAGAAUCAGCCUGGGCAACAUGGCAAAAUUCUGUCCCUACAAAAAAUACAAAAAAGGCCGGGCGCAGUGGCUCAAGCCUGUAAUCCCAGCACUUUGGGAGGCGGAGGCAGGCGGAUCACCUGAGGUCAGGAGUUCGAGACCAGCCUGACCAAUAUGGAGAAACCCCAUCUCUACUAAAAACACAAAAUUAGCCGGGCGCGGUGGUG